AACAAGGUUUCCGUAGGUGAACCUGCGGAAGGAUCAUUACCGAGUUCAUGCCCUCACGGGUAGACCUCCCACCCUUUGCAUACCUUACCUUUUGUUGCUUUGGCGGGCCGCCUAGCUACUGGCUUCGGCUGGUAAGUGCCCGCCAGAGGACCCCAAACCCAAACCCAUUUAUAGUGUCGUCUGAGCAAAAGUUUAAUAUUUAAAACUUUCAACAACGGAUCUCUUGGCUCUGGCAUCGAUGAAGAACGCAGCGAAAUGCGAUAAGUAAUGUGAAUUGCAGAAUUCAGUGAAUCAUCGAAUCUUUGAACGCACAUUGCGCCCCUUGGUAUUCCGAGGGGCAUGCCUAUUCGAGCGUCAUUAUCACCCCUCAAGCUCCGGCUUGGUGUUGAGGCCUGCUGUAAAGGCACCCUCUAAAAUCAGUGGCAGUGCCGUCCGGCUCUAAGCGUAGUAAAUCCAUCGCUAUAGACCCGGGCGGACGCUCGCCAGAACACCCCCAUUUUUAAUGAUUGACCUCGGAUUAGGUAGGGAUACCCGCUGAACUUAAGCAUAUC
rnacentral:rRNA from 1 species